GCAUCGGUCUCCAAAACCGAGGGUUGCGGGUUCGAGUCCUGUCUCCCCUGCCA
rnacentral:tRNA from 1 species